CGGCAGCUGCGGUUCCGUGACCCUGUUCUACUGGAUCUCUUUGUUUAUGGUUCUUCGGGGAUCUUCGGGCAGAUUCGUAUGUUUCCUUCCUCUCGCCAUCCAGUAGAGAGUCUGGGUUCCUGGAGUCAGGCUGUGGUCAUGUGCCGGGGACCGGGAGCGUACAAUGUUACGAAUUAUGUUUCACCUGCAAGGAAAAAACAACCAAUCCAGAGAAGAGCCCAGAGGCUGUCUCUAAAGCGGCGGAGUUACUGCUAAAUCCUGAUGCUCCGGCCAUCCCGUCUCCUGGACAGGCAUUCGGAUAUGAAGAGGAUGCUCAAGGUGUCCUGCACCGACACAAACCCCAACCAGAGACCAGACACUCGGCCCGGCCUUACAGUCCCUUACCGGUCAGACAGAUUACGAGCAGAGUGUGUAAAUGGAUGUGGCACUCAGUGAAAAAGAUACACGUCUAAUGGAGUUCUUUGAGUGUGUGUGAGGUCAGAUGUAUCCAUUAACAGAAGGGCGUCUAAUGCCCCUCUGCUCUGCAUCAUUAGUGCUGGGCCUAUUUCCAUUACUAAUGAUCGCUGCAUUGUUUUAAAAAGUCACAAAGCACAGCACUCAUCCAUUUUACUGUCAGGACCGAAAA